CAUGUGUUAUUUUCGGCAUGAUAGUGAUUAUAUAGUCCUUAAAUUUUGCAGAAUAUGCGUUCAGAAAGGCGCUCUCCUCGAAGAUAACUUCAAUCUUCAGUAAACAGCGUAUUACUUAGCAAAUAUUCAUUAAUUGUGCAAUGGCUAUAUCAAUAUAAUAGAUUGGAACAUGGCUUGUCCAAUGAACAAACAUAAAGUAUAAUUGCAUGAGUCACUUCGCUCCGAGAUGUCAUCUAUUAUGAAUGUAAUUUCCGUAAAAUGAGUUCGUAGGAUAUUGAUUGAUCACAUAAAGUUAUCACAUGGUAAAGAAAGUUGUUUGUUUGUUUGUUUGAUUAAAAACUGCUUCGGGCAGAAGUCGAAGUUUUCAUGCGGUAAACACGACGCUAAAAUAGCAUGGUUUGU